CAAGUGGAAAAGUUUAGCUCCGGGCUACACAAGCUUCACUUCAGAUCAGACGCUGUCAGGGUCUUCUUGCUGCUCAGAAGAAUUUGCAGUGACUUUCAAAUUUGUGAAGGAAAGAGCACUGUCUUCUCAGUCUAAUAAUUCUUCCUGACUCUGCUCUGAACCAAAGGAUGGCUAUGUUUGAUGAUUUCGAUAUAAUAACUCUGGAGGACCUCGAAGAUAUUAAAGAAUCCAUAUCUACUCAGGAUCUCCCAACAGCGGUAAACACAAUCAAAGAAGUCCUUGAUAAACAGGAUCUUGUAGAACUUAACAUUGGUGUGACGGGGGAGUCCGGUUCUGGAAAAUCCACGUUUGUCAAUGCAUUCAGGGGUUUAGGGGGAUGAAGAAGAGGGCUCUGCUAAAACUGGCCCUCUAGAAACCACUAUAGAACCUGAAGCUUAUUUUCACCCAAAAUACAAAAAUGUGAAAGUGUGGGAUCUUCCUGGCAUUGGAACACCAAACUUCAAAGCCGAUGAGUAUAUUAAAC